GAAUUCUCUGUCUCUCUCCUCUCCUCUCCUCUGAAUUCUCCGUCUCUCUCCUCCUCAAAUCUCCAUUGUUCCCGUUCCUUGGUGGAAGUUUUCGAAGGAAUUUGGGUCGAAAAUCUUGUUGUUGAAAUUCUGCUAUUGAAGGAAAGGUCGUGCGCGUGGCGAGGGAGCUGGAGUGCGGCGAGGGAGCUGGGAUUUUAGUUUUUAGUUUUUAUUUUUUGAUGAACAAUUAAUAUAGUUAAUUCAAGUUUUUUUUGUGUAAAUUUUAGUUUUUAGAUUUUAUUCUUUCUUUUGAUUUCUUGUAUCAAAAUUCAUCAAAUUAUUAAUAAAAAUAUAUUAUUAAUUUACUAUUA